AACAGUCCCCAGCACACUCAAAGCACUUGAUACUGUUGUAUAUUAUGUUGUUAUUAAUAAUUGCAAAUACAAAAUGAACAACAUUGUAAAAUGACAGAAAGAUAAAGAUUUCUGAAGAAAGUCUAUACUCUAAAUCUUCUAGAUGAUGUAUUGGAAGGGCAGAGUUUUUUAAAAACAGAGACUGGAAAUCAUACUAAAAUUUUCCUGAACCAACUAUGAAGUCCAUGGACCAGCAGCUUCAGCAUCACCUGGGAACUAACAAGGAAUGCAGCACCCCAGGCCUCAGCCCAAAGGACCUCUACUUUAACAGGAUGCCCAAGGGAUUUGUGCGUUUUAAAUGCACUGUUUUAAAUUUCAUUUAGGAACCAGUGUUUUCAGCAGGUCUUUGUGUUUAAGCUGUACUAUGAAAUGGUAAAGUGAGAUGUUUAAUUUUCUUUUAUAUCUCCUAUAAAACAUCAGCCUUGAAAUAUUCAUUUCUCUUGACUAUCUAGGGCACAUUUUGGAGAGGAGGCAACACAGAAACAGAUCAUGAAGAGCAGAUGCAAGCACCUAGGUCUGCUUCACAAUGUCUUCCUCCAUCUGUUGAUCAAGGUGUACAUCUGCUCCCACAGUCACCCAGUCACCUAUCUCUGCCUCACUUGCUUUAUUCCCUAAACGGAGAUGUGUUUCUGAGCUCAAAGGGCACAGACCUCUCACAAUGCCAGCCUCACCUCACUGCCAGAUGGAAGAGGGCUGCAGCCAACAGACAUCUGCAUAUCGGGUGCCUCUUUGGAGGGCUGUGAAUGAGAGACAUCGCUACUGUGCUGGUUCCUGUUGGUGAAGUAACUAUUGUGUUCGAGGGAGCCUCAUGCAACCCAAAUAUACACCACAUAAACACAGAUACAUACACAUCACAUGCCUACACACACUACAUACACUGCACACACAAUGUGAUACAUAUGUACCAUAUAUACUCCACAUAUACACAUGUACUGCACACAUACAAUAGCACACCACACCACAUCUACCUUACAUAUAAUAUAUACGUACCAUGCACACACACACACACAUACACACACACACACACACACACACACACACACACACACACAAAACUCUCUCCCUAAAACAAACAUUGAUUCUCAGAGAGAGCACAGUGUUAAUCAGUAGUCUUCAAACUGACAUCUACAAACACAUUUUUCCUCUCCAAGAAAACAUUUUUCCCUUUAAAAACAAAAAAUGGUUUACGCUUAGAAACACUAGUUUAAAUCCAUAAGAAGGAGUAAAACCCUUGCCCUAAUUGCCCCAUAAUUUUUCAAACCUGCCUGUGUCACAGAAGCACUAUUUUAUAUGAUUACAUUAUAGCCUCAUCCCCUACACUGCCUUAUCUCAUAAUCCAUCUCCUAAUGACUGCUCCCUGGCCACCCUGAAGCCCUGUAAGAGGCUGCUUAAUCUCCUGGACUCAGAGCCAAACUCCUUUCUUCUCCCUCCGAUCCUGCCUAACAGGAGGGCUUCCACAACUUUGCUCAAAGAAGUACACAAGAGAUGCAUUUCCCUAAUAUCCAACAAGAAAAGACUUAGAAAGUUGAGUGUCACAGAGAAGGUCUGCCAGGGCGCUCCAACACACCUUCCACAGCCUGACAAGAGCCACAUAUGCGAGAGACCAGCACCGAGAAAUCAGCAGAGAUUAGAAAACUCCGAUGGACGGCAACAGAUGGGGUAUUUAUUUAUUUCAAAUACUUUUUUUUGCUGGGAGAGGCACAUGAGAUGUAUAUCUUAUUUCCAGAGAAGUCUCAAGGGAGACAGCUGUCAUGCGGUUUCAUUCCAGAACUCUUUAGUAUGGUACAAACAAUAUAAUGGAGGACAGACAGCCUAAAUAGCAGACCCCAACAAUACAGAGCCACCUCAAUUGCAGUUCAUUUUACCCUGUAACUUCUUCUUAACACGAAGUGAAACGUUCCCUACAAUAAAACAGUGCAGUGACCUUUGGGUAUUAAAUCUGGUUUCAUGCUUCAAGACUGUGAUCAAAAUAUUCCCGUGCUAUUUUUUUCUUUCCAAAUGGAACAAAGUGCUUUCAGAAAAUUUACUGAAUCCUUGAAAACCUAAUGAUCCCUUUAUAGCCUCAGGUAAGUUACUGCAAAAUUUAAUUUCUGCUAACCUACCUGAGAUUACAAACAGCAAAAUAAAUUCGUGGGACUUUCCUGCUGGCUGCAUUUCAGCUUUCCUCUCUGACUGACCCUUCAGAGUGUUCCAUACUCUUGCAAAUCACUCAAGGAUGCUCAGUGUCUUGAAUUGCCCUCAGGCACCUGUGACAUUGACUUUUGUCCCUUCUGGGUCAUGGGUGGAGAGAGUUAUGGUUCAUCCUUUACAAGCCAUUCACCUUAUUAAAAAAGUUCAUUCUACA